GACGAACGCUGGCGGCGUGCUUAACACAUGCAAGUCGUACGGUAAGGCCCUUUCGGGGGUACACGAGUGGCGAACGGGUGAGUAACACGUGAGUAACCUGCCCACAACUUUGGGAUAACGCUAGGAAACUGGUGCUAAUACUGGUUAUGUGCUCCUGCUGCAUGGUGGGGGUUGGAAAGCUCCGGCGGUUGUGGCUGGACUCGCGGGCUAUCAGCUCGUUGGUGGGGUAGUGGCCUACCAAGGCGGCGACGGGUAGCCGGCCUGCGAGGGUGACCGGCCACAGUGGGACGGAAAGACGGCCCAGACUCCUACGGGGCGCAGCAGGGGGGAAUAUUGCACAAUGGGCGCAAGCCUGAUGCAGCAAGGCCGCGUGCGGGAGGACGGCCUUCGGGUGGAAAACCGCGUUCAGCAGGGACGAAGCUUUUUGUGACGGUACCUGCAGAAGAAGCACCGGCUAACUACGUG
rnacentral:rRNA from 1 species